AUUGAACGCUGGCGGCAUGCUUUACACAUGCCAGUCGAACGGCAGCGCGGGCUUCGGCCUGGCGGCGAGUGGCGAACGGGUGAGUAAUGCAUCGGAACGUGCCCAGUAGUGGGGGAUAGCCCGGCGAAAGCCGGAUUAAUACCGCAUACGACCUGAGGGUGAAAGCGGGGGACCGAAAGGCCUCGCGCUAUUGGAGCGGCCGAUGUCGGAUUAGCUAGUUGGUGGGGUAAAGGCUUACCAAGGCGACGAUCCGUAGCUGGUCUGAGAGGACGACCAGCCACACUGGGACUGAGACACGGCCCAGACUCCUACGGGAGGCAGCAGUGGGGAAUUUUGGACAAUGGGGGCAACCCUGAUCCAGCCAUGCCGCGUGCGGGAAGAAGGCCUUCGGGUUGUAAACCGCUUUUGUUCGGGAAGAAAUCCUCUGGGCUAAUACCCCGGGGGGAUGACGGUACCGUAAGAAUAAGCACCGGCUAACUACGUG
rnacentral:rRNA from 1 species